AGUGAACGCUGACGGUAGGCCUAACACAUGCAAGUCGAACGGCAGCACAGUAAGAGCUUGCUCUUACGGGUGGCGAGUGGCGGACGGGUGAGGAAUACAUCGGAAUCUACUUUUUCGGGGGGGAUAACGUAGGGAAACUUAAGCUAAUACCGCAUACGACCUACGGGUGAAAGCAGGGGAUAUUCGGACCUUGCGCGAUUGAAUGAGCCGAUGUCGGAUUAGCUAGUUGGCGGGGUAAAGGCCCACCAAGGCGACGAUCCGUAGCUGGUCUGAGAGGAUGAUCAGCCACACUGGAACUGAGACACGGUCCAGACUCCUACGGGAGGCAGCAGUGGGGAAUAUUGGACAAUGGGCGCAAGCCUGAUCCAGCCAGACCGCGUGGGUGAAGAAGGCCUUCGGUUUGUAAAGCCCUUUUGUUGGGAAAGAAAAGCAGCAGGUUAAUACCCCGCUGUUCUGACGGUACCCAAAGAAUAAGCACCGGCUAACUUCGUG
rnacentral:rRNA from 1 species